rnacentral:rRNA from 1 species
AUGUCGGGGCGGCGGCCCCGGAUGUGGUGCGACGUUCGUGGUCUGCGAGCGGUUGCCCUGAGCAGCGUGGGCUGCGGGCAGCUGGGCUGUGCGGCGUUGCUGCUCGAGGGGAGUGGUGGUAUGUCGGGGCGGCGGCCCCGGAAGGUGGUGCCGGUGGAGUGCGCUGGGCGCGACGGAGUGGUGGAUGUCGGGGCGGCGGCCCCGAGAGGAUCACUGUGGCGACCAGGCUUCUGUGGCAACGAUGAUGGUGGGAGCAAUGUCGGCGACGUGGCAAUGGUUGCGGUAGUCGGCUCUUCUCCGGCGUGUUCACGGUAUUGCCUCGGUUUGUUUGUUGCUGUGGAGUCGAAGCUGCGGUGGCGGGGCCCUGUGGCAUACGAUGACUGGCUGCAAGUGGCCCGUUCGGCGAUCUUUCGUGGCGCCAGCUUUCGCCUAGUGUUUUUUUGA